UCUCUAGUAGCUCAGCGGUUAGAGCAAAUGGCUGUUAACUAUUGGGUCGUUGGUUCGAAUCCAACCUAGAGAGAACAGAG
rnacentral:tRNA from 1 species